GACGAACGCUGGCGGCGUGCUUAACACAUGCAAGUCGAGCGGUAAGGCCCUUUCGGGGGUACACGAGCGGCGAACGGGUGAGUAACACGUGGGUGACCUGCCUCUAGCUCUGGGAUAAGCCUGGGAAGCUGGGUCUAAUACCGGAUAUGACCUCGCGGUGCAUGUUGCGGGGUGGAAAGCCUUGUGCGGCUAGGGAUGGGCCCGCGGCCUAUCAGCUUGUUGGUGGGGUGANGGCCUACCAAGGCGACGACGGGUAGCCGGCCUGAGAGGGCGACCGGCCACACUGGGACUGAGACACGGCCCAGACUCCUACGGGAGGCAGCAGUGGGGAAUCUUGCGCAAUGGGCGAAAGCCUGACGCAGCGACGCCGCGUGAGGGAUGACGGCCUCGG
rnacentral:rRNA from 1 species